AGGCAGUGUAGUUAGCUGAUUGG
rnacentral:ncRNA from 5 species